GACGAACGCUGGCGGCGUGCUUAACACAUGCAAGUCGAACGGAAAGGCCCUGCUUUUGUGGGGUGCUCGAGUGGCGAACGGGUGAGUAACACGUGAGUAACCUGCCCUUGACUUUGGGAUAACUUCAGGAAACUGGGGCUAAUACCGGAUAGGAGCUCCUGCUGCAUGGUGGGGGUUGGAAAGUUUCGGCGGUUGGGGAUGGACUCGCGGCUUAUCAGCUUGUUGGUGGGGUAGUGGCUUACCAAGGCUUUGACGGGUAGCCGGCCUGAGAGGGUGACCGGCCACAUUGGGAGUGAGAUACGGCCCAGACUCCUACGGGAGGCAGCAGUGGGGAAUAUUGCACAAUGGGCGGAAGCCUGAUGCAGCAACGCCGCGUGCGGGAUGACGGCCUUCGGGUUGUAAACCGCUUUCGCCUGUGACGAAGAGUGAGUGACGGUAAUGGGUAAAGAAGCACCGGCUAACUACGUG
rnacentral:rRNA from 1 species